GUAGAUUUUUGUUCUCUUAAUUUACCUCCUCUUUUUGUCUGCCUAGGGCGAGCCCCCCCUCGGAAUACAACAGUAGAUCUUAAUAGUGGGAACAUUGAUGUGCCGCCCAACAUGACUAGCUGGGCCAGCUUUCAUAAUGGUGUAGCUGCUGGCCUGAAGAUAGCCCCUGCCUCCCAGAUCGACUCAGCUUGGAUUGUUUAUAACAAGCCUAAACAUGCCGAAUUAGCCAAUGAGUAUGCUGGCUUUCUCAUGGCCCUGGGUCUGAAUGGGCACCUUACCAAGCUGGCUACUCUUAAUAUCCAUGACUACUUGACCAAGGGCCACGAAAUGACAAGCAUUGGGUUGCUACUUGGUGUUUCGGCUGCGAAACUUGGCACCAUGGAUAUGUCAAUUACUCGGCUUCUUAGUAUUCACAUUCCUGCUCUCUUACCACCAACAUCCACAGAACUUGAUGUUCCUCACAAUGUCCAAGUGGCUGCGGUGGUUGGCAUUGGCCUUGUGUAUCAGGGCACUGCUCACAGACAUACUGCAGAAGUCCUGUUGGCUGAAAUAGGUAUUCAGUUACUAGUGUUGGAUCGUAAUAGCUGACAUUUCCCACUCCAUAUAAACCCAAAGAAAAUAAUAACAAAAUUAGAAACAUUAAGGAAAAAUAAGAGUAGCUUUUGUAAACACAGAAUGCUCUGAUAACUUAAAAAAAAAGACCCCCCCCCCAAAAAAAAAAAAACAAAAGGCAAGCCUAUUACUAAGCUCUGGUGGUCACAUGCAAGCAUGCCAUUUAUCCCACACUAAGCAAUGUCUAGCAGUUACCUAUACUUUAAAUGCAUUUGUUUUACUUCUAUAGCAGUAUAUCACAGUGUUUCUUCUGUUAGGCAAUGACACAAAAACCAGAAGUGAUUAUCUCCUAUAACUUAUGUACCUUUCAAGCCUUUAAAUUAUGUCUGCAUUAUGAUAAAAUAUAACAGAUGCAAUGUAAAUACUAUGUAAAUGGUUUUUACACUGUAUUGUGUAGGGAUAAAUGA
rnacentral:lncRNA from 1 species